UUUUUCCCCACCCGGCCACCUCUCUCCCCCUGAUUCCUCUGUCUCUCUCGCACCACAGCGUUGUCGCCGCCAACUCCGAUCCCAGGAAGCUCCAGCGGACUCCAACCCACUGCUCACGGUUCUGCCCCACUCCAUCUAUGUUCUCCUCUGUUCCUUCGCCUGAGGCCACCGCGCCCCUGCACGCGUGGCACGCAACAACCCUAGCCGCCACGCGUCGCCGGCGUGGCUCCGGCAGCUCCGGUUUAUCGACCCACUACCCCUGCGGCCCUGCCUCACCUCACGCGCGGCAGCACGCUCGAGCUUGACGUUGGUAUUCCGCCUCUUCUACCUCAACUCCGGUGUUGACGUUUCUGGUUCUGGUGUUUACACGCUCGAGCUUGACGUUGGUAUUCCGCCUCUUCUACCUCAACUCCGGUGUUGACGUUUCUGGUUCUGGUGUUU
rnacentral:lncRNA from 1 species